GAGGGUAUAGCUCAGUGGUAGAGCACAUGCUUAGCAUGCAUGAGGUCCUGGGUUCAAUCUCCAGGACCACCU
rnacentral:tRNA from 1 species